UGCAGUGCGGGGGAUGGAACCUACAGCCUCAUGCAUGCAUCCUAGACAAGCACGCUACCAACUGAGCUGCCGCUGCAGCCCCUACAAAUGGUGUGUGAAGGAAUGAUUCUAGCAUUAGAAAAUUGCUUUGGAACAUUAGAGAGAGCUCUUGGUUUCCUUGCUAUCACCUGAAGGCCCCCUUUGGAGCAGAAAGCUGUCAGAUUGAGAGGCCUGGAAGAUUCUUGAACUGCCAUGAUCUUCAGCCCACUUCAGGAGGUAAAGAAGCUGGGUUCUGAUGCUGGUGGAGAGUGGCAGCAGAGGCAGCAGAGACAGGAUAAAUGCAA